rnacentral:rRNA from 1 species
UACGUAGGUGACAAGCGUUAUCCGGAUUUAUUGGGCGUAAAGCGCACGCAGGCGGCUCUUCAAGUCUGACGUGAAAUCUCUCGGCUUAACCGGGAGCGGUCGUUGGAAACUGAAGGGCUUGAGGCGAUGAGAGGGGGUGUGGAAUUCCCCGGUGUAGUGGUGGAAUGCGUAGAUAUCGGGAGGAACAUCAGUGGCGAAAGCGGCACCCUGGCAUUAGCCUGACGCUCAUGUGCGAAAGCGUGGGGAGCGAACGGG